rnacentral:ncRNA from 2 species
AACUAAAUAAAAGCGCCAGAACUGAUUGCAGUCUAUAAAUGAGCGGGUGAAAUUCCGGCUUAUCUGAAAUCAGUUGACGAGGAGGAGAUUAAUCGAGAAUUCGGCGGGAGUCUCCCGGCUGUGCAUGCAGUCGUUAAGCUUUAGCUACAAACCAAUCAGGUGACUGGUUGAACAGAGCGCUAAAGAACAUGUGCA